AUUGAACGCUGGCGGAAUGCUUUACACAUGCAAGUCGAACGGCAGCACGGGGGCAACCCUGGUGGCGAGUGGCGAACGGGUGAGUAAUACAUCGGAACGUGCCCGGUCGUGGGGGAUAACGUAGCGAAAGUUACGCUAAUACCGCAUACGAUCUGAGGAUGAAAGCGGGGGACCUUCGGGCCUCGCGCGAUCGGAGCGGCCGAUGUCAGAUUAGGUAGCUGGUGGGGUAAAGGCCUACCAAGCCGACGAUCUGUAGCUGGUCUGAGAGGACGACCAGCCACACUGGGACUGAGACACGGCCCAGACUCCUACGGGAGGCAGCAGUGGGGAAUUUUGGACAAUGGGCGCAAGCCUGAUCCAGCCAUUCCGCGUGCAGGACGAAGGCCUUCGGGUUGUAAACUGCUUUUGUAUGGAACGAAAAGGCUCUGGCUAAUACCUGGGGCUCAUGACGGUACCGUAAGAAUAAGCACCGGCUAACUACGUG
rnacentral:rRNA from 1 species